rnacentral:lncRNA from 1 species
UUGCCUUCCACCUAUGCCAACGGUAUCUGCAAUAGGCCUUCAGAUCUUCAACAAGACCAGUAUACUGGAAACUUUUAGCGGACAAUGAAGCUUCCUGGACCAGGUUGUGAAAAAGAGUCGACACAGCUUCACUGUUCCAUCGCCAGUUUUCGAUAACCUGGUUUUGACUAAGUCAACAUCACGUGCUGUGUUGACGAGGUAAUUCGUGAUGAUAACGUAGUCGUUUAUAUACCAGGUACCACAACUUCUCGGGCAACCGAUGCAAACUCCUGAACUUGCCUCUCAAAGAAUCUGCUAAUCUCUCGAUGUCAACAGAUUGAUGAUGCUCGGCAUUGUCCAUCUUCUGUCCCACUUGCUGCGGUUGGUUCGGACAAUAAACAAGACGCUUAAACUAUCUCUAGCUAACACAACAUAAUAAUAAUGAUAAUGUUUCCAAAAUGAUUAAAGAUAUAAAAAUAGAAACUGACUUUGCCCUCUGUCAUGCGCAUACACGGCUAAUAAACAAGAUACAUAUGUCAUCGCUACCUUAGAAUUUCUCUAACAUAGGAGACGAAUUAUAAUUACAUAUAUAAAAUAAUAAAUAAUAAAAAAUAUAUUAUAAUUUUAAUCGUAUAAUUAUGAAAAAAUACUACACCAUACAACGAUUUUAACAUAACCGAACCCAAACAAACCCAUGUAUACAUUAUAUUGAGAGACCUACAUAAGCAGCAAGUCACUUUAAAAUUACAGUAAAUGACAUAAUGCGCAUGCCAAGCACAGAAGGAAGCACGUGAAAUUAUAAUAAAAAAAUGGCGUAGUUUCAAAUUAUUUGUGUUCCCUUUGGCCUUCGGUUCACCUUACUCGAAAUUAGAUCAAAUCGGGAGCUAUUCCCAUCGCUCAUUUCAUACACCGGGGAACACCGCCACUCCGACGCCGGUCUGCCUAACCACACCGCUCCUACGAACUCUGUCGUCGGAAAAGAGACACUCAUUUCGCCUUGGAGAAGAUUCUAUUGGUAGUAAGACUCGAUAAUUUCUCGUUGCACUUAUUAUUACUGAUAUUACUAUUGUUUUGAUAAAUACAGCAAUUAGGCAUGGAAAUUGAAAAUGGGUUUUUUCUUUUUUAUAAUACAUUAAGCCUUCAUAAUUUCUGUUAACUGUUUUGUGAAGUAUAUAUUUGAUGUAUUUUGGUGUGGUUUUUCACUUUUAAAUAAGCUUACAAACAUGUGUUAUUAUUUUAUAUGCAUGUUGUGGUAUUCGUGAUUGGUCUGAUUGCUUGUGGGAACCAAUUGUGGCUGCAAUGUGCUAGAUAAGCAUGAAUCUGCUUUGAUCAAAUAGGUAGGAUUUGGUCGUCUGUGUGGGCGCCCAACUAAUCAGAGAAGAAAACGACCAAUUGACAGAUAAAAAGAUGCCAAAGUUCACUCUCGAUAAUUCCUUCCGUUUUUGCAACCAAGAAGGGACCAUAUCUUACUUUCACUCUAAAUCUAUUGAGACGCUACAACAAAAGUUGAUUCAGAUUGGUUUCGGCAGUUUGCACGCGAAGAGCAUAUCCAGGCCGAUCUGAUUGGAUGGAAGAAGAUGUUGGUUAAGAUUAAUGAGGUGCUAGGUGAUGCAGUGGAGAAGCAGACAACGAAUCAGUCAGUUAAGACGUGGCUUGCAAACUUCAGAACUUGGCUUGUGAUGUUGAAUAUUCGUUGGAUGAGUUUCGGAUGGAAAGUUUCCAGAGGAAGUUGAUGCUAGAUGAUGAUGCUGUGGAUGAGUCUGAUUCCAUAGCAAUGUCCAAAAUAAAGGAGGUCAAUGCUAGAUUGCAAGAUUUUGCAUCGCAGAUAGACCCACUAGGUUUGAAAGAAAGUUCAGGUGGCAAGUACAGAAAUGUCCGGCUAAGAUUUACCCACAAUCCCUUUGGUGAGUGAAGCCAAUGUAUCGGCAAUGAUAUUCAAAUGGAAGCCUGUGAUUGAGCUGACAGAAAGAGUGGUAAACUGGUGUCGGUUUUUUCCCUUAAUUGAAAAAUAAGGUAAACCGGGAUCAGUUUAGUUCACUGUUUAUGUCAUCACUCUGUCAGUGCUCUGACAAAUUGCUAAUGCUAAUUCCAUAUUUCCAUGUGUGUUUGUUCUUUCUUUCUUUUUUUUUAUCCAAAGCUAUUCUUGGCAGCAGUAAGACGUGUGGGCAGAGAUCCUGGCCCUGCAAUCUUUAGUCCAUUAAUUAAGAAAGCUAAGGAUUUGGCUUUCUUGGAAAAAAAAAGGUGGUCUUGCUUCUUUGGAGAAAAUAGGAUCUGGUGGGUGUGGAGAAGUUUACAAAGCUGAACUACCAGGACAAAAUGGAAGGAUGAUUUCUAUUAAGAAAAUUGUGGGGCCUUCAAUGGAUGCUGCAGCAUUGAUUGAAGAAGAUAGUAUGCUGUUGAACAAGAAAAUGAGGCAAAUUCAGUCUGAGAUGCUGUUGAACAAGAAAAUGAGGCAAAUUCAGUCUGAGAUUAAUACUGUGGGUCAAAUUAGGCACAGAAAUCUUCAUCCUUUGCUGGCUCAUGUGACCAGGCCCGACUGCCAUUUACUUGUGUACGAAUUCAUGAAGAAUUGAAGUUUACAAGACAUUCUCAACGAUGUCUCACAAGGGAGACGAGAAUUAGAUUGGCUAGCUAGACACAGAAUUGCACUUGGACUGGCUUGUGGGCUUGAGUAUCUGCAUAUGCACCAUUGCCCUCGUAUAAUCCAUAGAGAUCUAAACCCAGUGAACGUGCUUCUAGAUGAUGAUAUGGAAGCCAGGAUUUCUGGUUUUGGUUUUGCAAGAGCAAUUCCUGAUGCUCAUACACAUAUCACAACUUCGAAUGUGGUGGGAACGGUGGAAUACAUAGCCCCAGAGUAUUUGCAGAUGCUAACACGUACUGAAAAGUGUGAUAUAUACUUUGGGGUGUUGCUAGCUGGUCUGGUGAUGGGAAAACUUCCGUCCGAUAAAUUCUUCCAACAUACAAACGAGAUGAGUUUUGUUAAAUGGAUGAGAAACGUCAUGGCCUCUGAGAAUCCUAAGCGGGCUAUCGAUUCAAAGCUCGUGGGCAAUGGUUGUGAGGAGCAAAUGCUUCUUGUUUUAAAGAUUGCUUGCUUUUGCACUUUGGAAGACCCAAAUGAAAGACCUAACAGCAAGGAUGUUAGGCGCAUGUUGUCGCAGAUCCAGCACUGAUGACCUUAUGUGGGUAGUUUUAAAUGUACAAGAAUAACACCACUACCUAUCAUGAACAAUGUAUGCUUGCAAAUUAAGUUGUAUAACAAUGAUCCUUCUGUGUUUUUUCUUCGAAUAAUCUAUAAUGUGGUUAACAGUGUUGUAAUUUCACAAACUAGAAACUAUUUCUUAGGGCUAGUUGUCCCACUCCCUUAACUGUUCCCACUAAGAAUAUUAUUUAUAAGAAUGGUUCUUUCAUAUGGUUACAAAUAUGCUAAAGUCCAACUUUUGGUGGCAGAAUUGGUAUCUGACUGCUUGAAAUGUUGCACAGAGGAUUCUGAUGAUUCCAUGGGCAAGGUGCACAUCAUUCAGAAGCGAUGAUAAGCAUAUUUUCUUAUCAGAAAUUCAUUGAAAUCUUUAUAACUCUGUUGUUGACUUGUUUUUAAGUCUUUUAUUUCUUUCUGGUGUUUCAGUGAUCCUUCCAUUUUCUUGAAAAUUACCCUUUAAGAUAGAUGCAAGGUAAAUUCAAAUAGAGAUUUCUGUAUUUGCUAAAGGGGAAUUCUGUAGACAUCCCUCUUGUUUGCUUCUCUGCUCUCCUUUAUCUUUAAUAAACAGACAAAGUAUUUCUUUGAUGAGGACAGGCAUCGAACUUUAUAGCUCUGACUGCUGGAAGUAAAUAUAUAGGUUUCUAAAUGCGAAGAAAUGGUUAACUUCCUUUGACAAUGACAUUUUUGUACAUUAAUUACCUCAUGUGAUAAACUCUUGUGCUUGUUAGACCUUCUCCUUGCUGACUUCUUGAUAUGAAGGCACGUGUUCGCCACCUCUAUCUACAACUUUUUAUAUUUGUCACCAUGGGAAAUAUGUAUGCGACAGGAGAUCUUUACAUGUUUGUUAAAUAUUUAACAAGAAUAAUUGUCCAUUAUCUAUAAUAUGUGAAAUAAAAAGUCUUGAGAAUUCACCAUGAUACAAUUCGGAUUCUUGUUUUUAUGAUAGAAAGUAUAUGAGAAUUUGGUCUUUUACUAGAUUGUCUAGGUAGCCUUGGCCUUCAAGCUCCUCUUCUAAAUGUUUUGUGGAGAGGAUCCUUGAUUCCUCCUAUUGCACCAGUUCUCAUGUGGUCCACCUGUCAUCUUUGUGUGGUCAUAAAUCUUUUUUUGUCUUUUGUGUGUGUGUGUGUGUGUCUCUUCUUCUUUCUUGGGUAAAGUAACUAGUGGUCUUGGAAAGUCAAACAACUUGUCAUGUAUCUUAUGAUUUUGAAAAAAGAAUAUUCAUUUCAAGAUUUUGUCUUUCUCUGUUUGGUCUCAGUGUACAGUUUAUGUUUCUUCUGAGAAAAUAGAAUGAUGUAUAAUAAUCUGGUGAAAUUGCCAAUUAGGUGAUUACUUAUUCAGGUGCAAUACUGGAGGCGUGCAUGAGGAAAUUGGUUUUCUAUCAUGAAAUUGUUGGUUUCAUUGAAGAAGAGAAGGAUAAGUUUCCUACAGUUAAGAGUUCAAUAUUUUUCAAUUCUCCGCCUCAGUUGGUCGUGCUUGCUCAGGAGGGGCAACACAAGGAAACCAUAAGGUGAGCUGCUUUUGUGAAUAUUAACUACUGAUAUUACACACCUUUAAAAAAUUUCCAGGUGGAUAAUUAGGAAACUGAGCCUAGAGUUAUGCUAGAUGUCACUCAUGAUAAUUAAGUGAGACUGCUGAAAUUUUUAGGCUUACAUGUUAUCAUUGGUUGCUGCCUUGUACCUCCAUAUUUCACCUCUAUUACAUUUUCCUCAGUGCAGAAGCAUUUAAAAGACUAUAUUUUCCCUCUGAGGUACUGUAAAGAAAUUUCACCUAGCCCAAGCAGCAUUAAAUGAGUAUGAUGUCCCCCUGUACGUGCUUUAGAUCUCACAUUGAUUCCACAGAGAUACCUGAAUUUCAUAGACCUUGUAACACAUGAGGUUGUGGCCUGAGGGUCUUAUAACUCAACGGUGGCAUUGUAAAUUUGAUAAGCCCUCUUUUCUGCUGUCAAUUGAAUUUGUGGUUCGUGAUUAGGUUUUCCUGACCACUUGAUAGCUUGCAUAUGCGUACCUUAUUUACUUUUAAUUGCUCAUUUCCUUUCCGGUAGACAGAUAGAGUAAUGAAGUCCUAAAAGAAAAUAUGAUUUAUUUAUUAUGACUCCUUUGCAGCAUUGACAAUUGGAAACGGGAACAUAUGCUGCAGUUUCUAGAAGAGAAGGUUAAGCCUACUUCAGCAAAGAUUUAGAGUGAUUUAUAACUGGCUUGCUUUAUAGAAAAACUGAAUUAUGUGCAACAACUAUGCUAUGAAAUCAGGCAUAACUCAUUACCUUUUUGUUCUUAGUUUGAGUAACAAAUCCAAGUGUAAUGAAUUACUAUCUGGCACACAUUUAAAGUGUUUUUGGACAUCUUCUGGAGAAUCUAUUUGCUUCAAGAUGAACUCUGCUACUCUGAUAUUAUCUGACUUUAGUGACAAGUUUUGAGAACUUUGUAGAUAUGCUUGGUGGACAAGAAUACGAGAUCAUAUAAUAUAAGCUUUGUGUUCAUCUUCUUAUGAAGUUUUGAUUGAUUAUUAUUGAAUAAUAAUGCAUACGUGGUACAAGAUUUUUGUGACUUUUCAUAUUUGGCUACACACGAACACGCAACAUAAAUUCUGACAACUUACAAAUUAAAAUCAGGGAGCCUACAAUGCGAUGAUGGAACAAAUUGCCUGUAUUAAGGUGAGUAAAAGGAGAAUAACGGCUGCAAUAACAGAGAUGGAUGCCCAUGGACUAUUGAAGUAAUCUUGUCUCAACAUUGCCUUCCACCUAUGCCAACGGUAUCUGCAAUAGGCCCUCAGAUCUUCAACAAGAUCAGUGUACUGGAAAUUUUUAGCAGACAACGAAGUUUCCUGGACAAGGUUGUGAAAAAGAUUCGACACAGCUUCACUGUUCCAUAGCCAGUUUUCGAUAACCCGGUUUUGAACAAGUAAGUCAACAUCGUGUGCUGUGUUGACGAGAUAAUUCAUGAUGAUAACAUAGUCGUUUAUAUACCUGGUACCACAAUGCAAUCUCUCAAAGGCUUGAAGGUUUCUGAAUAAAAUCUCUGUGGACUCACU